rfam:Picea glauca, whole genome shotgun sequence.
CAUGUUACAAAAUAGCGUUAAUGCAUCAGAUUCCAUUAGAACUAUGUAGUUAAGCAUGCUCGAGCUAGAGUAGUAGAGGGAUGGGUGAUUGCCCAAGAAUUCCUAGUUUUUUACAUGC